CCUGCCGUCUCUGCCUGCCAUGACGACUCUGGGACGGAUGCUGCCGACCAUCAGCUGAGCUCCUGAUGGACACGCUGCCUGUUCACAGUCCUGAGUUUCAUAUUUACUCAUGAAGACCAGCUGCUGCUGGAGAUGAUGAUCAGGUGUUCCCACUCUGAGAGGAGGAGACGAAGACGAUGAUGAGGAAGAAGAAGAAGAUGAAGACGACAAAAAAAGACUAAGAAGAUUUGAUUUUGUUUUGUUCCCAGUUUGCAACCUUCCCUUUUUUCUUCACUCACAUUAUUACAGCAAAAUGAACCCAAAACACCAAAUACUGACAAAAAAAUGACCAAAAAAAACACGUUUGUUUUAACAGAGAGAAAACAAGACAAGAUAUUUUGACUACUGUGUGAAAGCAUGCAUCUCACACACACACACACACACACACACACACACACACACACACACACACACACACACACUCCACAGUCACCUGAUUACAGUCUAUAUUCCCACUGUGAGCCCAUUCUCUGUGUCGAGCGGCUCCUCCACAUCAGUUUAUAGAAAGAAAGACUGUAAAGUUUCAGCAUGUCUGUGGUUUGUUGUGUGAUGUGGAGGGAAGACGAGCUGGAGGUAAAAGUCAGAGACAGUCAGAGGAGGAGUCCAUGUUGAGGCUGAUGGAC